rnacentral:rRNA from 1 species
CGUGCUUAACACAUGCAAGUCGAACGAUGAAGCCCAGCUUGCUGGGUGGAUUAGUGGCGAACGGGUGAGUAACACGUGAGUAACCUGCCCUUGACUCUGGGAUAAGCACUGGAAACGGUGUCUAAUACCGGAUAUUUCAACUGACCGCAUGGUCUGGUUGUGGAAAGAAUUUUGGUCAAGGAUGGACUCGCGGCCUAUCAGGUAGUUGGUGAGGUAAUGGCUCACCAAGCCUACGACGGGUAGCCGGCCUGAGAGGGUGACCGGCCACACUGGGACUGAGACACGGCCCAGACUCCUACGGGAGGCAGCAGUGGGGAAUAUUGCACAAUGGGCGAAAGCCUGAUGCAGCAACGCCGCGUGAGGGACGACGGCCUUCGGGUUGUAAACCUCUUUUAGUAGGGAAGAAGCGAAAGUGACGGUACCUGCAGAAAAAGCACCGGCUAACUACGUGCCAGCAGCCGCGGUAAUACGUAGGGUGCAAGCGUUGUCCGGAAUUAUUGGGCGUAAAGAGCUCGUAGGCGGUUUGUCGCGUCUGCUGUGAAAACUGGAGGCUCAACCUCCAGCCUGCAGUGGGUACGGGCAGACUAGAGUGCGGUAGGGGAGAUUGGAAUUCCUGGUGUAGCGGUGGAAUGCGCAGAUAUCAGGAGGAACACCGAUGGCGAAGGCAGAUCUCUGGGCCGUAACUGACGCUGAGGAGCGAAAGCAUGGGGAGCGAACAGGAUUAGAUACCCUGGUAGUCCAUGCCGUAAACGUUGGGAACUAGAUGUG